rnacentral:rRNA from 1 species
ACUCAAAUGAAUAGACGGAAGUUUGAACAAGCGGUGGAGCAUCUGGUUUAAUGCGACAUAACGCGCAAAACCUUACCAGUCUUUGAAUAUUAUUUAAAUCUUUAGUAGCUAAAGGUGUCAAAAAACUUUGGAAAAUUCAGUUUUUUUGUAAUAAUACAGGUGCUGCAUGGCUGUCGUAAGCUCGUGUGGUGAUAUGUUUGGUUAACUCCGUUUAACGAGCGCAACCCUCGUUUCUAAUUGUUUAUAAUUAGAAAGACUGCCUGUGCGAGACAGGAGGAAGGUGAGGAUGAUGUCAAGUCAGUAUGGCCCGUAUGGACUGGGCUACACAGGUGCUACAAUGAUAAUUACAAAGGGAAGCAAUAAUGCAAGUUGGAGCAAAUCUCAAAAAACUUAUCCUAGUUCGGAUUGUCCUCUGCAACUCGAGGGCAUGAAGGCGGAAUCGCUAGUAAUCGUAGAACAGCAUGCUACGGUGAAUCUGUGACCAAACUUAGUACACACCGCCCGU